AUUGAACGCUGGCGGCAGGCUUAACACAUGCAAGUCGAGCGGGGGAAGGUAGCUUGCUACUGGACCUAGCGGCGGACGGGUGAGUAAUGCUUAGGAAUCUGCCUAUUAGCGGGGGACAACAUCUCGAAAGGGAUGCUAAUACCGCAUACGUCCUACGGGAGAAAGCAGGGGAUCUUCGGACCUUGCGCUCAUAGAUGAGCCUAAGUCGGAUUAGCUAGGUGGUGGGGUAAAGGCCUACCAAGGCGACGAUCUGUGGCGGGUCUGAGAGGAUGAUCCGCCACACGGGGACGGAGACCGGGCCCAGACUCCUAGGGGAUGCAGCAGUGGGGAAUAUUGGACAAGGGGGGAAACCCUGAUCCAGCCAUGCCGCGUGUUUGAAGAAGGCCUUAUGGUUGUAAAGCACUUUAAGCGAGGAGGAGGCUACUCUAGUUAAUACCUAGGGAUAGUGGACGUUACUCGCAGAAUAAGCACCGGCUAACUCUGUGCCAGCCGCCGCCGUAA
rnacentral:rRNA from 1 species